CCCUUAGAUGUUCUGGGCCGCACGCGUGCUACACUGAGUGGAUCAGCGGGUCAGGUUGCGCGAAAGUGUUUCCUACUCUUUAAAUCCGCUCGUGAUGGGGAUUGACGGUUGCAAUUUUCCGUCAUGAACGAGGAAUACCUUGUAAGCGCGGGUCAUCAUCCCGCGCUGAAUACGUCCCUGCCCUUUGUACACACCGCCCGUCGCUCCUACCGAUUGAGUGGUCCGGUGAGGCUUUGGGAUCUGAGCGGAAAGAGCGUUUCGCUGUUUCUGCCCGGAAAACUCAGUCGAACCUUAUCAUUUAGAGGAAGGAGAAGUCGUAACA
rnacentral:rRNA from 1 species